CAGUACGGAAGACGAAGAAAAUACACCGGAAUGUCUUAAUAAAUCAAAAAACAAACAUUGUUUUAUGCAUAUUACUUCAGUCAAGCACGAAGAGGUACAUUAUUUCACCACUACACGAUGGAAUACAUACAGGACAAGCCUACAAACGUGGCUCGGCUCUGGAGGUGCAGUACCACAAAGGCUGUUAAAAUCAGUACACCAGAGAAAGAACAGAAUGAGCCCACGUUUGAUGUCAGCUAUAAGUUAUUCUGUGAGAGGAUCAUUCGCCAAAGGCUGCUUGUCAACCAAGAGGUGCAGAGAAUGGGCCAGCUGAGGAAGGCCUUCAUUGAACUGGUGAAAGCAAAUGAAGGUCUUGAAGCUUCAAACUACAGACAGGAUAUGUUGAAGAAGAGGCUGACUCGUGAUUUCCCCCAUCAGUAUCAAAAACCUAGAACGGUCAUGUAUAGAGCUGAUGCAGGGUCACAACGCAUGCAAAUCUUUGGCCCGGAUCAGAGGACCCCAACCCAAUGGAAAAAGUUUCUCUCAGAAGGAACAAAUACCGAAUUCCUGUAUGUUGUAUGGAAAAAUGCAGACCUUACAAUAGUGGGCAAAAACCUCUGCUUGCACAUACAAAUCAAUGUCACUGUGUGACUGUUAAGGAGGGUGUACAGUCUGUUUGUGUUGUUGAAGACCUGCAGUGUGAUCAUGAAGAAUGUGACACAAGGGUGUUUUUACAUGCACAACAUGCUGCACGGGAGCAUAAAGCUGUCAUUAUC
ensembl:lncRNA